GACGAACGCUGGCGGCGUGCUUAACACAUGCAAGUCGAACGGAAAGGCCCUGCUUUUGUGGGGUGCUCGAGUGGCGAACGGGUGAGUAACACGUGAGUAACCUGCCCUUGACUUUGGGAUAACUUCAGGAAACUGGGGCUAAUACCGGAUAGGAGCUCCUGUUGCAUGGUGGGGGUGGGAAAGUUUCGGCGGUUGGGGAUGGACUCGCGGCUUAUCAGCUUGUUGGUGGGGUAGUGGCUUACCAAGGCUUUGACGGGUAGCCGGCCUGAGAGGGUGACCGGCCACAUUGGGACUGAGAUACGGCCCAGACUCCUACGGGAGGCAGCAGUGGGGAAUAUUGCACAAUGGGCGGAAGCCUGAUGCAGCAACGCCGCGUGCGGGAUGACGGCCUUCGGGUUGUAAACCGCUUUCGCCUGUGACGAAGCGUGAGUGACGGUAAUGGGUAAAGAAGCACCGGCUAACUACGUG
rnacentral:rRNA from 1 species